GAUGAACGCUAGCGGCAGGCCUAAUACAUGCAAGUCGGGGGGUAGAGGAAGCUUGCUUUCUUGAGACCGGCGCACGGGUGCGUAACGCGUAUGCAACCUACCUUUAUCAGGGGGAUAGCCCGGAGAAAUCCGGAUUAACACCGCAUAAAAUCACAGAACAGCAUUGUUUCAUGAUCAAAUAUUUAUAGGAUAAAGAUGGGCAUGCGUGCCAUUAGCUAGUUGGCGGGGUAACGGCCCACCAAGGCGACGAUGGCUAGGGGCUCUGAGAGGAGAAUCCCCCACACUGGUACUGAGACACGGACCAGACUCCUACGGAAGGCAGCAGUAAGGAAUAUUGGUCAAUGGGGGCAACCCUGAACCAGCCAUGCCGCGUGCAGAAAGACUGCCCUAUGGGUUGUAAACUGCUUUUGUACGGGAAUAACCACUGGUAUGUAUACCAGCCUGAAUGUACCGUAAGAAUAAGGAUCGGCUAACUCCGUGCCAGCCGCCGCCGUAACAC
rnacentral:rRNA from 1 species